ensembl:snRNA U2 U2 spliceosomal RNA
AUCGCUUCUCGGCUCUCUGAGCUAAGAUCAUGUGUAGUAUCUGUUCUUUGCAGUGUAAUUUCUGCAACGGUCUCUAAACUGAGACCAAUGAAAUUACCUGUAUUUUUCUUCGAAGGACGGGUGCUGUGAGCUUGCUCAACCCCGUCCACGGGUCGGCCUCGUAUUGCAUUACCUCGAGGAUUGGCCCAAUAUUG